CUAAGUUGACAACUUUGUUCCAGGUGCCGACUCCCUGUGUGGACACAGCCUGAGUUUUAGCGAUGAAAAGUUACAUUCCUCUCCUCCGUCCAGUCCUUCUGGCUCUUCUCCCACGAUCGCCUCUCGCAAAGCAAAACUUGGAGACACCAAAGAACUAGAAGACUUUAUUGCUGAUCUUGAUAGAGUUUUGGCAAGUAUGUGAAACACUGAAUUUUGACCCAAAACCUGCCUUCAAAAGGAUGAGAUGGGAGUUAUAUUCCUGCAACCCACCAUCUAAUGGGACCGACACAGGAUUCCUUCCCUUCUCAGUAUUUCUCCAGCCACUGCCUCUUACACUUUAACAUGUCGUAAUUUUUAGGUGAUUUUAAGUGAUUUUUUCUACAGACAGAAUCAAAUAACACAAGUGCUCAAAAAGGCUUUUUUUAAAAAAAUGUAGCUUAACAUUCAUUUAAAAGAGCUUUUAUGAAAAGAUUGGAAAUUCUAUAUCAUGAACUUUUGAAACGUUUUCACGGUAAUAUAUUUUUGUACGCAAAUAAAAGCUAAACUGGAACUUAAUAUAUAUAUAAAUAGGGCGAGAGUGAGAUUAAACAGAUGGAUGGAUGGAUGUUUGUCUAGAUGAAUUGAUGGACAGACAGAUGAAAGAUGGAUGGAUGGAUGCUAAUUAAUUGAGGAUAGGUAGCUAGUAGUAUAGGAUGAAUAGAUGGCUAAUUAAUUGAGAUAAAUGAGAAAUGAAACGCAUAGAGGGGUAGAUGGAUGUUUAAUUGCAUGGGAGGAUAGACAGAGAGAGAUAUGAUA